AGAAGUGAACAGCGGUUUAGUUGGCCAUGUGAAAUGCGCUGCCCAUAUGGCCACUUAAUCCCCGUACCCUACUGUUCAGAAGAAGUUGAAAAAAGACAAGAGGUCAACGAAAAAUGCCAGUGCAGGUGAGACAACUGGGGAUUUGAUGCUUUGCGGAUAGACAUUCUCGUGUAGACUAGUUGAAUCGUUUGGUGCGUUAGAAAGGCCUAUGAAAAUGCCCAACACUAAAAGUAUUAAACCAAGAACAGUUGAGAUUAAGCCGAAAAUCGUUGGCAAUAACGUCAAAUCGAAAACUGUGGAAAGUCCACAAACUAGGCGGCCUAAAGUUAACGUUACGCACAAGAAGAGAGCAUCAAGUUGCACAAGAUGUAACGUUACCUCCAGUCAGCCCAAGGCCGAGUCUACCAGACCUCCGACGAAUACCGAAGUUGUUAAAUGCGACAAGAAAGGAAAAACAUGUGCGACCUCCUCUAAACACCAGAAUGCGCCUAUUGAACAGAAAGAUGAACGGACUACAAUAAAACCUGAGCACAGAGUGAUACAUGAAAUUAUAAGUCAUAAAGCUUUCACAGUCAUUCCGCCAAAUCCAAGGAAGAGAAUUGAAAUCCAAAAGCAGGCUGAAGCAGAGCUGGCUGCUCUUGAGGAUCUACGAUUGAGUCGGGCCAUGGGCUACAUUUCUUUAGCCCCCAGCUCCGUGGGUGGCCGUUUAACUCUGGAGGAAGUCAGAAAUCGUCAACAACAAGAAAUGCAAAAAAGAAGAAAGCAAAGACAGGUGCAACGAUAUGAUUUACAAACAUCCCCAACUGUCAUCCAGUAAAGCGAUCAUCAAGGAGGGAAUCUAAAGCAUUUUUUGUGCAGCUUUACAUAUGACUUAAAAAGAUUCUGAGCAGCAAUAAUGUUUACGCAAUGUUACAAUGUUUACAGUAAAAUAGGGACUUCUCAGUAGCCCAAUGCAAAGAAAAUGUGGACAUUCAACAUGUCAAACCAGUUGCUGCUGUGCCCGGUGUACAUACAGUAUAUGAAUGUAAAGAUAUAAAAUGUACAACAUGUUGUCUGUCAAUUAAGGAAUUUCACCAUGGAGUUAAAUAAAACAUGAAUUUAUAUUUAGAAAAUCAACACAAUGGAUAGUCUUGUUGUUUGGAGC